UGCCAGCCGCCGCGGUAAUACGGAGGGUGCGAGCGUUGUCCGGAUUUAUUGGGUUUAAAGGGUACGUAGGCGGCCCAUUAAGUCAGUGGUGAAAUGCUAUAGCUUAACUAUAGAGCUGCCAUUGAAACUGAUGGGCUUGAGUAUGAAUGAGGUAAGCGGAAUUUUUGGUGUAGCGGUGAAAUGCAUAGAUACCAAAAGGAACACCGAUAGCGAAGGCAGCUUACUUGCACAUAACUGACGCUGAUGUACGAAAGCGUGGGGAGCGAACAGGAUUAGAUA
rnacentral:rRNA from 1 species